AUGUGCCAAACUUGUUCUUCUGCUGUUCGGUAUUUGUUCUUUUAGGGGAAAUUGUUAACAUGGCACUAUUUCUUUCUCACUUUCCACACAAACCAAUUCCGCCCACCACUUGUCUCAAGAGUAGCAGGCAACAUUUUGAUGUAUUUCCUCGUCCCACCAUCCACAUGGGGUCUCCUGUCUACACUGGCCAGCUUGUCUCUUUUCGUCUUUGGCAGUAUCCGGGCAUGGUGGAUAUGGCUGUGUGGGGCGAUAAAAAGGACAGCUUGUGUUGGGCCAGCUCCUUGUCAGCAUGCGUCCUGGAUCUGGCUAGGACAUGCCUAGCUCAUGAGCUCAUCGUCAUGGUCUUGGCUUCUGCAGGGCUGUUUCAGGGUGGCACAUAUAUGGGGCCUGCCACCUCCAUGCCUCAUGCCUGGGUGCUCAGUAAUCUGCUUGGAAAACUCCAAAAUGCUAUGUUCUGUGCCCAGGAGGGGCGGGGCGGAUCUCCCCUAUGUGAACCUCCACCGCGGAACAAGCCUCCAGCUGGAAGCACAUACCUGAGAAUCGGUAGUCGGAGAAUCAGUAGCUUGCAAAUCAAUUUUAUGUUAUGCGAUGCUCAUAACGGGGGUAUUUGGGAGAGCUCCACUUCGCCUCAACUCCACUCCACCUCUAAACUCCAGAAUUGUAAAAACAAUGCUUGGAUAACAUGUCAGCUCCAGAUUCGUGUUAUGGAUGGCUUGUUGUGAGAAAACCAUAAUACCCCUGUUUUUGUAACCUACUAAUCACUUGGCAAGCAAACAGUCUUGACCGACUGUUUGUAGCUCUGAAACAAAAACAAAAGAGAGAAAUGAAGACUGCAUUUUGUUCCCUUUA